rnacentral:rRNA from 1 species
GGUUGAUCCUGCCAGUAGUCAUAUGCUUGUUUAAAAGAUUAAGCCAUGCAUGUCUAAGUAUAAACAACUUUAUACUGUGAGACUGCGUACAGCUCAUUAAAUCAGUAAUUAUUUAUUUGAUGGUACCUUUCUACAUGGAUACCCGUAGUAAUUCUAGAGCUAAUACAUGCACAAAGACCCGACUCGCGAGGGAAGGGUUGUAUUUAUUAGAUUCGAAACCAAUGCGGGCUCUGCCCGGUUUGUGGUGAUUCAUAAUAACUGAUCGAAGCACAUGGCCUCCGCGCCGGUGCUAG